rnacentral:rRNA from 1 species
UGGGGAAUAUUGGACAAUGGGGGAAACCCUGAUCCAGCGACGCCGCGUGGGUGAAGAAGGCCUGCGGGUUGUAAAGCCCUUUCAGUGGGGAAGAAAAGCCUCGAGCUAAUACCUCGGGGUCUUGACGUAACCCAUAGAAGAAGCACCGGCUAACUCUGUGCCAGCAGCCGCGGUAAUACAGAGGGUGCGAGCGUUAAUCGGAAUUACUGGGCGUAAAGCGCGCGUAGGCGGCUUUGCAAGUCGGGUGUGAAAUCCCCAGGCUUAACCUGGGAACUGCAUUCGAGACUGCAUUGCUAGAGUAUGGGAGAGGGAAGUGGAAUUUCCGGUGUAGCGGUGAAAUGCGUAGAUAUCUGGAGGAACACCGGUGGCGAAGGCGGCAUCCUGGACCGGCAUUGACGCUGAGGCGCGAAAGCCAGGGGAGCAAA